GUCAAGCCAUAACUGGAGUCUUUCUGCUUUCCUGGUCCUUGCUGUAAAUGUGCUUAGAAUCCAGUAGGGACCCCUGGCCUGGAUACUGUGGACACCCCUUAAGGAGAGGGGUCCCGCUGCUGCAGACGCAAGCCCAUAUAGAAGCGUUCACCGAGCAAAGCCUCCACAGAAGCAGGAAGAGGAAACGAAGCUGGCCAGCAAAUCUGGAAAAACAUCAAAACCAAAACACAAGAGCCGACACAGGGUGACAGGACUCCUGCCAAAUCACUGACGUGGACACUAGUCAUGCGAGUGGAACAUUCUGUUACUACUUCUCAGGGAGACUGGUGUCCUGGACAGAAGGAAAGCAGACAGCCAGCUUUUAGUUUGUGAUGCUGGGGACUAAACGCAUGUUGGGCAGGCGGUGCUACCCCUAAGUUAAAUCCUCAGCCCUCAGCUAACUUUUCCUUUAGGGAACCUGUGUUGCUUCAAUAACAACAAGCAUGCAUUUUUUUUCUUUACAUGUUAUUAGUAUUUUUGUUGUUGUUGGUGAUGG